rnacentral:lncRNA from 1 species
GGGGCGGGGCCAGAGAAAUAAAAGGAGGGGGGCGGGACGGAGAGGGGGCGUGACGUUGCCGCCUCUCGGGCAUUGCGGGUGCAGGGAAGCGGGAAUCCCGGCCGCGUGGCCCUGCAGGUGACGUGCGUGGUGAAGAGGACCCCAGGCUGGGGCGACGGAGCAGUGAAGACAGCUUUCCCCUCUCUAGGGUUGAAGCAGACAUGAUGCAUGCCAGGUCCAAAUGGAAAGUUGCAUCCACCGCUUCUGCCCUCUGCUUUGAGAAUAGGAGAGUUCCACGAGGAAGCAGUUCCUUCUGCCUGGGUUCCAGAAUCAGACACAUGGAGCUGGCCCACAGCCACAGGCUCACACCAUGAGGGAAAAUAAAUGUUUGUUGUGGCAAGCCACUGAAAUG